rnacentral:rRNA from 1 species
AGUUUGAUCUGGCUCAGGAUGAACGCUAGCUACAGGCUUAACACAUGCAAGUCGAGGGCAGCAUGUCGUGUGCUUGCACACGAUGAUGGCGACCGGCGCACGGGUGAGUAACGCGUAUCCAACCUGCCCAUGACCCCGGGAUAGCCCGCUGAAAAGCGGAUUAACACCGGAUGCGGUCGAAAGAGGACAUCUGAUUUCGACCAAAGCUUCGGCGGUGAUGGAUGGGGAUGCGUCUGACUAGCUUGUUGGCGGGUAACGGCCCACCAAGGCUACGAUCAGUAGGGGUUCUGAGAGGAAGGUCCCCCACAUUGGAACUGAGACACGGUCCAAACUCCUACGGGAGGCAGCAGUGAGGAAUAUUGGUCAAUGGGCGGAAGCCUGAACCAAGCCAAGUAGCGUGGAGGACGACGGCCCUACGGGUUGUAAACUCCUUUUUUGCGGGGAUAAAGUGCCCUACGCGUUAGGGUUUUGCAGGUACCGCACGAAUAAGGACCGGCUAAUUCCGUGCCAGCAGCCGC